rnacentral:lncRNA from 1 species
ACAGAGACACUCAGAAGGAAUUGGGACUGGAUGUGGAGGAAAGACAUCAUAAAACUUUACAUUGAAAGCCAAAGAUGUGAAGUUAGGCCUAGUCAAGUGUUAAUUCUGAAAGAUCAAAACACAUCAUCCUGGACUGUGAAGGUGUGCCUUCUGUAAGUUAAAUGGAAUGAGAUCUUCUUCAGUGCACCUGAUGUCUUGGGAAGGGUGAGUUGAGGCGUGGUGGAUGUGAAACAUGAUCUCAUUAUAAAUGUUCCCAUUUGUUUUAUGUGUUCAGUUUGUUUUGUGCUAUCUAGAUAGGAAAUCUAAAGGCUGAGAAAAUGUCUGCUGUAGACAUGGCAGUGAUUCUUUGAUACUAAAUAGUUGGAGGGGAGCCGAGUGAUUGCGUGACUUAUUUUUAGACAAUAUAGGGACUCCCUUGCAAAGGGAGGAGUUGGGAAGAAUAGACGUGUUAGGAACCAGGUUAGCCUGGAGAUUUCUCUGGUUACCUGAAGCUGGAAAAAUAUUGGAAGAAGAAAUUAUUCAAUGAGAACUCAUGCAGACCUGAGUCUCCAGUUAUGCCUAAGUGGCCAUGUCAGAUCUGUGAACCUCUCUGCUGGCUUCUUAACAAACCCAUAUUUUUACAAGGAAGAUGAUCUGGGUUAGAGGAAUUAUUAAUUAUAUUUCAGCUCACAAAUUCCUCUUUACUAUCACCCCUUUAGCCCCAUGUAAACUCUGUUAGGGUUUGGUUAAGUGUAGAAACUGAUAUGUAAGCAAGAGUAAGAAGAUGAAGUCACUUAUCUGGAAAUUUCUUUAAACCUUUAAUUAUUGUAAACAAAAGAUCUGGUCUCUUUGGAGCUGGUAGUAAUGUCUUAGUUUUGUGGCUGUUAGUUUUUUGACUCUAUCAGACUGAGUCAUUGUUUUAUUUGAAGAUCUAGAAUAACAUCAUCUACAAAGAAAUGAUUACAGUAAUUGAUCUUGAUACUGCCUCCUCCUAGUUGUAUUUAUAUAAUUAUCUAAAAGGGUUUUUAAUAGAAUUACUGCAACAAGCCUGAAAAAGUCUGUGCUAAGUGGUAACACCUUGAAACAGGAUCAAUAUGAUCCCGCCUUCAAGGGGCUUUUGGAUUUGUCUAGCCUACUAUAUGGCUGAGUACUAGACUCAGUUAUCCCAUUCCUCAGCAAAAGAAACUACAGAAGUUUGAGGGAAUAUCAGACUCUUGGCACACAAUUGACAUUUAGUAAACACUUGAUAGGCAGUUGGUAGUGGGUGGCAGCAUUCACAGAUGAAUUCUGAAGUAGAUGGUGAAUGAUGCUGAGAUUUUCUUUACCAGUCCUGGUGACACUGCCUGAGCUCACAUGAUAAGAUCCUGGUAGAGUAGCAUUUAUUCUUCUUUUGCAGACUCAGCUAAGAGGACUUUGCAGUUGAGGCUGAAUCUUGAUCCAUGUAGUCCAUUCCCGAUGGUGCUAUUUAGAAGGCCUUUUGUUGUCUGAGCAAAGUUGUCUUCCUGGCCUUACUACUGAAUCUUGGCAAAGGAUCAAUGGGUAAGCCCCAUCCUCCAAAGAUCUCAUAUAACAUAACUGGUAUCAGGACACUGAUUACAUGCAAGCAGUUCCCACAUGAAGAGCUUUAAAAUUGAGAUUUUUCUUUGAAAUUUAAAAGAAGGUGGAAUAAAAAUGUGCUUGCUUUCCAACAUAGAUCGAUUAGCUGGCACGGAGAGAACACCGGCCUUUGAAAUCUAUAGGCAUCCUGUUGCAGGCCUGACCCAGCUGACCCUGGGAGAUUAGUAAUGGUCU